GCCUGGAUGGCUCAGUAGGUAGAGCACGAGACUCCUAAUCUCAGGGAUGGGAGUUCAAGCCCCACACUGGUCA
rnacentral:tRNA from 1 species